rnacentral:tRNA from 1 species
CAGCGAGCCUUGAUCCCGCAAAAAACUUAGUUAACAACUAAACGCCCUAUCCAGCGGACUUUGAUCUA